rnacentral:misc_RNA from 1 species
AAACAUCAUGCACCAAGGAAUACUAUCUUGUAUAUGUUUUAUCUUUUCAAAUAUAUUAAAAAGAAAUAUCGAUUACAAGAAAUCCAUAGCUCUUCAUUAAAUUAUUCAUACAGAAAAAAAAAAACAAAACUCUCAACGGUGAACCAAAAUUUAUUAAAUUUUUUUUAUUUGAUUUUAUUAGGUUCAAACUAAAGAUUUCACGAUUCUGCAAGUGACUCCAAAUAUUG